CAGCAGCCACGGUAAUACGAAGGGUGCAAGCGUUAAUCGGAAUUACUGGGCGUAAAGCGCGCGUAGGUGGUUUGGUAAGAUGGAUGUGAAAUCCCCGGGCUCAACCUGGGAACUGCAUCCAUAACUGCCUGACUAGAGUACGGUAGAGGGUGGUGGAAUUUCCUGUGUAGCGGUGAAAUGCGUAGAUAUAGGAAGGAACACCAGUGGCGAAGGCGACCACCUGGACUGAUACUGACACUGAGGUGCGAAAGCGUGGGGAGCAAACAGGAUUAGAUACCCGUGUAGUCCCUGUCUCUUAUAC
rnacentral:rRNA from 1 species